rnacentral:rRNA from 1 species
UACGUAGGGUGCGAGCGUUAAUCGGAAUUACUGGGCGUAAAGCGUGCGCAGGCGGUUCGUUGUGUCGGCGGUGAAAGCCCCGGGCUUAACCUGGGAAUGGCCGUUGAAACUGGCGAACUGGAGUGUGGCAGAGGGGGGUGGAAUUCCGCGUGUAGCAGUGAAAUGCGUAGAGAUGCGGAGGAACACCGAUGGCGAAGGCAGCCCCCUGGGCUAACACUGACGCUCAGGCGCGAAAGCGUGGGGAGCGAACAGG